rnacentral:lncRNA from 1 species
UUUUUUUUUUUUUUUUAAAUCUAUCCGUCUUGUCUUCUCCUCUACUCGUGUAUCCCUGGAAAGGAAAAUAUCUGUUUUUAAGCAUUGGUUUUUGGGUGCUGAAUUUCUUUUCGGGAGAUUGGAUUCGAUUUGAAAUGUCAUCCUCCAAAGGAAAAGGUUGCACCUAUUGUUUAUCCAAAAUCGUUCUUGUUUUUUUUUGUGCAUGCGGCAUUCUUGUCUGGAUCGCUGUCUUGUUGAAUGCUUAAUUUAAGCCAGACCAAAUUUCUCAAUUAGUAAAGAUUUGGUUGAAUUUUAUAAGAAAAUCUUGUUUCUAUAUCUGGACUUGUUUUUUGUUGGAACGAAAUGCCAACAAGGAAGGGAAUCAGAGCAUUCAUCGUGUGGAUGUGUCAUAAUGAAAUCCGGGGAAAUGCAAUCACUAGAUCAUCCAUCUAACUCAUCUUAAUUAUGUCAUCUUAGUAUGAUUGCAAAAAACGCAUUUUGUAAUAAUAAAAAAAAGGACGGUAUAUACUCGCAUUGAAUAGGGACUUACAAAAGAGUUUGUAUCUUCUUUAUAUAUCCAUAAUGAAUGCAUGAAUAGAUGGCCAGGAAUGCCUCGAACAUGGAAUAUGCUAAAGUAUUGGAAAUCAUUUAAAGUCAUUGCGUUGUAGUGGAGUGUCUCGGUCCAUUCCAUCAAGUGUCACUCGACCAAGUUCAUUGGUUGCACCCCCCAUGAAAAGGAACAUGGUUUCAAAGGAACGAACAUAAAUGCUUUGUGUUCUAAAGUUUUUGUUUUUGGGCGAGUUCUGCACGAAGAGAAGCCUGUAUAUGUGAGUGCAGAGGAAUUUUCAGGCUUUGAAACCACAUUGAGAGUGGUAUGCUGCUUAGGUGAAGUAUUUCGAUUAGGUCCAGAGCCACGAGGGCAUCUCUCUCUAAGCACACGUCACACGCUUUCCGCUCAUCUUGGUCAUCAAAACCUAGAGAGAGUCCAACCAAUAGUAAUCGCUUUUUGAGAAUUUAGAAUGCAGCCUUUCUUUAAUGCUCAAGGUCAGCCUUUCUAGUCCAUCUCCUUUGAAUUGGUCUUUUGGGGUUUGACUGCCGCCUCUGGGUAGGUAUUGCUUUGUGAUGGUAAAUUGGUAAUCAUUGGGUGACCCGUCUAUGGCUACUGGAAAGGUUACUUUUUGCCCUCCACCAAACACCUCGCUAGUCUCUCAACGGUCCUGUCCCAGACAGAUUCUUCACCUCCCUGAAUCAACUUGAUCUAUAAUUAGCUAUGUGGACAGUUACCAUCAUCUGACAGAUUGCAAAUUUCCAUCCAAGCUGUGGAUUUGUCCAGGCCAGCUACCACUUCAGUGGUAAAAUCCUUCUUCGCUUAUCCAUUUAGCUUGAAAUUUGAGAACUUUUAGGGGUCAGCAGCCCAGUCCCUUCCUCUUGUCUGUAUCAAUUCUCUCAAACUUCUCGAUUGCUCCUUCACUGGCCAUAUUCCCUUAGGAUUAUGGGAGUGUUCUAAAUUGGAGCUUUUCAGGGAAGGUUAUGAUCUCUCAGGGCUAUUACAUUAGUACCCCUGAGGUACUGGAAAUUACACCCCCACAGUAGGGUAAUUUCCUUUUACUUUUAACUUGCAGGUUAAUACCGUAAUUUAUCUUCCUUAUUAACUCCACAGUAGGAGUGUUCUAAAUCCUACUUUAGCCCCUAACUAUUCAACUUCUAGCUAUUUAACCCUUCAACUUCCAAUUACGCCUAUUUAGCCCUUAAACUAUUCGAUCGCCUUCUAUCUAGGCCCCAUCUGAUUAGUGGACGGAUGUUAGCACGUGAGUCACAUAUGAUAUUUUGAUGCCAAAAUACAAGGGAUUUUAGAUUUUUCGGUGUCUUAAUCCAACACCUAUAUCCAUAUUUAGGGCAAAUUGGUGCCCUAAUUUACCAUUUAGUUGUGAAAUCAAGUUAGGAUUGGGUGAAAGUGGAAACUAGAAAGCCCCUUCUCUCCCUCCUCCUUUCCUCUCUGUCACUAUAUUAUGCUCUGUUUCUUGCUCUAAAGGGGUCAUACAUACACGUAAAUACAUAGGCAGUUGAGGGAAAAUUCCCUCCAAAAACUAUUUGGUUAGUAAAAUAUCUAUUUUGCCCCUAAGAAUGCAUGUGCGACUCCGUUUGCUAAUUGGAUGGCUGACUUGAUAUAGGGAGAUUGAAUAGUUUGGUGGCUAAAUAGAUGCGAUUAGUAGUUCAGGGGCUAAAUAGCUAAAAUUAAAUAGUUUAAGGGAUAAAAUAGGAUUAAACUUGGAAACAAACUUUAACAGGGGGUCAGUGUAAUUUCCCAUAGGUUAGGGAGGAGUAUGUAUGAAGUCUAAACCACAGGGAGGUCAGUUUAUUUUAUGGGUAAAUUACACAAACCUCUCCUGAGGUUUGCUCCGAUGACAUCAUGACAUUAGUACCCCUUGAGGUACUGAAAAUUACCUACCCUCCUUGAGGUUUUGAUCCACGUUACAAUUAACCCCCUUUGAGGUUUUAAUCAUAAUCAAUUAAUCUUCCAGAAAUGCCAAUUUUACCUCCUUAACUCCCUACCUUUCCACUUUCCAUUCCCAAAUCGAGUAGUUGUAUCAUAUUCUACAAUGAUUAAUUGGGAACUUCUAGUGACGCGGUGUUGACAAAAUGUUGAUGGAAUUUCGGGAUGAAAUUAGGGGGGCGGAGGUUUAGUGGCCGAUGGUUGUGAGUUGUAGAGGUGGGUGGUCAUAGGGGGUUUGGUGACCAGAGUUCUUUAUGAUUGUAGAUGUAGUGGGGGAAGGUGCAUAUGAUUUGAUGGUUGGCGGUUGUGUGGUUGUGGUAGAUGUGGGUGAGGUGGUUUUGAUGGAUGGCUAGGUGGUGGUUGGUGCUAUGGGGAUGGGAGUGAGAGGAAAGAAAGGUGACAAAGAUGCAAUGGUGAAGGGUAUUUAAGGGAUGAGACAAAAGGACAUUGAGGUACUUUUAUUCUAACUUGUAUGGAUAAUAUGGUAAUUUAGUUUCUCUGUUAACUCUCAGUUAGGAGACAAACUGUUAGAGGGAGAGGGGGAGGGGGGGUUAUUAUAAUUUUCCAUAGGUUGGGGGAUCCAUAUUAAGGCCAAACCUCAGGGGAGACCACUGUAUUUUCUCCUAGAGCAAAAUCUAUAUUUUAAGACGUUUUUAACAUGAAAAGGGUUAUGUCCCAAGCUGAAUAAUGCUAGUGAGAGGGUAUUUGUAUGCCUGUUGCCAACCUAAAAUCCCAAUGAUUUCAUUGUUGCCUCUUUAACAACACGAUCUCAAGCAGAGGAACCACCCAUUCAUAGCUUUUGAUACCCUGUUCUCAUACCAUCCGUAUUUGUUUAAACUAGUAUUGAACGAUCCCCCAUUAGUAAGCCGAGUGUUGAACGAUUACCCAUAUUUAGGACAAAGAUCACAGGAUAACAACUUUUAUUCCCACGAAACACAAAAACUGAAUUUUGCACAUUGCGCUUCAGUAAUACCACACAGAUACGAUUCCCCUCCAUAUCCUUAUUAUCUUAUUGAUUAUGGAACCAUAACAGUCCCUCCAUCAUGCACUUGGAAGAGGAAAGAGGACGCCAGAAAAUAUCAAUAUUUAUUUAUUUAAAUCAGAAUAUUUAGAUUCUGAUAACAUUUUACAGAAAAUAUUACAAGAGAAAGUUUAUGAGAGAGAGAGACAGAGAGUUAUAUUUUCGUGAUGCUAGAUAGAUAGAUAGAUAGAUAGAUAUUCUUAAACCCUUGACUCUGCCUCUGCCUCAAGCUAUCUUCUGAGCAAUGUUGAAGACGUGAUGAAUCCCCCCAUGUCAGCUCUUUAUUGAUGCCCCAGUUUGUUAAAAAGCGGUGGAAUGCGGCCAUAAACCUCUCGUGUGCUAAAAAACCCAAUGGUCAGUCCCCAAUUAGGUCAAAAAAAGAGUACACAAGAGAGUAAUAGAUGGGCCACUGCCGCAGCACAACCAAACCAGACCGGCCUAGUGGACAAAGCCAACAAGAGGGACUGACUUGUAUGUAGAGAAAACAAAUCUUUACUAAAUAGCAUUCUCAAUGGAAGAACUAAAAUCUUAGGAUAACAAGAUCUUUCUUGUUACUAAUAUUUAGUACUUCCUUUUGAGAAUCACCGGUGGGAUUUGUUGGGAGAGCGUUUUAGGAAGAUGGGUUAAAAACAAAAAAAGGUUGGUGUGAAACUGGAAUAGUGCAUGAGGCUAAUUAAUCAUCUCCCUGAAUGUACCAGCAGAGAAGCAUGGUGGCACAGCGUCGGAGGAUGUAAAUUCUGGCACGUUGCUCCUCACACCAAGGAAGCACACUUCCGUGUGAAGCCAUGGCCCUUUAUCUUUGAACGGCCACAUGCAUUAUUACUGUUGAACUGUUGCUUUAGGUCAGCCAUGGAUGUUGUAUAAUUGAGGAUUUCAAAGAAAAAUGGAAAGCCAAAGGGAAAAAAAAGCUCACAGUGUGGGAGCUAGACCCUGAGUGGGGCAAAGUAGAGGCCUCAUGUAUUUAUAGUAUACCAAGAAACAAGGGUUGACUAGGUUUGGAGAGGGAGGGGGGUUGAACAUGGUCAGUUUCCAAAAUUGAGGGAUCUAAAUUUGCAUGGAAAGGUGUAGCUAGCUGCUUAUGAGCGCAUUGAUUUUAGAGGGGGUGAACGUGGGCUUGGAUUCUUGUGGAUUAUUUAAAGAGUAGGUGUAGUGUAAAAGAAGGGAUGAUUGUUUGUUUUUUCUUGUGUAAUCGAGUGCAAAUGAAGUAGAAAAUUGGUCCAGAAGCAUGAGAAAAGGAAGGUUGUAUUAAUUAGGACAAGGCAUAGGAAAGGGCACAGGGAACAUGAUGUCGGCUAAUUUAUCUCAGUUCUGAGGUGGGUUAGGGAACAGUUUGAUUGGUUCCACUGGGAACCUUGGUCACAUAAAGCGCAAAUGGGAGCGGGGGCGAAUGAGUAAGAGCGUCUUCUGUCAAAAUACCUUAAAAGCGAUAACUUCUAUUUUAUAUAAUUUUUUAAUCAAAAUAUAAUCAUAUAUUUUGGGAGCGGCGAGUGAGAGCGAGAGCGAGAGCGGGAGUGGAGUCUUAGUAAAAGAAUUAUGUGACCUAGCUGAGAACCACAAAUCCCAACUCUUUCCGUCUCUGUCAUACGCACACGCAUUGCACAUAGAGUGUCCUAUUGUUUUCUUACAAAAUAAAUGGUAUGUUAAUCAUCCACAUAAUUUUUUAUAUUUAUCUUUUGAUGUGACACAACCAUGACCAAUUUUCCAAAAAGACACACAAGUCACAAUUGUGCAAUACUUAUUACGUUUAUGGUGGACCCAUUCUAUCAAAAGUAGUAGAAAUUCAUACUACAAGUGUCUUCUUUCAUUGAGUACCCUAGUAACAGUAGAGAAAUUUAUUUCAGCUUCCAAAAAAUGUGCAAAGUCAAAUUGAAAAAUUAGAUAAUGUAUUAACCUAGAAAAUUUGGACGAGGUUUAAACUCUUCAUUCUUACCGCUAUAAAUAAUAAAUGCCAAGGAUUGACUUAGUAGUUGAGACACUCUCUUAAUAGCCAUGAUACUUAGAUUCGAGUUUUACAGUUCCAAGUGCAACAUCCCAUUUCAUAUCCCUCCCUACGGUUGUCAAAAAAAAAAAAAAACAAUCUUCACUCCUUUUAAUUACAACGAAUAUGAAAAUGUGCACUUUACAUAUAACUCUUAGGACAUCAUAUAGUAACACAUUUUUUCUAUGUAUAAUAUAGACACUUUUAUAAAUAACAACAAUAAUUUUAUAACUAGUUUUAUAAAAUUGUAAGACCAUUGACACAAAAAGUCACAAAGUUUCGCAUUAAAUCACAAACAACUAUUCGUAACAACUAACCCCAAGUUUGAAACCCAUCACAAAAUAAUACAACUCCACAUUUAUUUAUGAUUACAUAACUAAACCAAAAAAACAUAAAAUUUAUAAUUAACACCAUAAAACUUCUAAACUUUCUAUAGUACAUACCAUAUGUACUGUUGCUUUCUUCNNNNNNNNNNNNNNNNNNNNNNNNNNNNNNNNNNNNNNNNNNNNNNNNNNNNNNNNNNNNNNNNNNNNNNNNNNNNNNNNNNNNNNNNNNNNNNNNNNNNGAUGUUUCAAUUAUGUCUGGAAAUAAAGCCCAACCCUUGAAGUGGGCACCCUUCAAAGCCAGAAAUGCCAAAGCAGUCCUAAAACCCCCAAAUACUCUAUAAAAGGACCCUCCCUUGCCUGAUUUCUCACUCUCCUAGUCCACAAACACUUGCCCAAAUAUCAAUCCUCUUCUUGACGGUGCCAACAAGCCUCAGAGGGCAUUGCCAAUCCAAGCAGGCAACCAAUAAGAACAGCUUGAUGAUCCUUGUUCAAACCCAUGUGAACGUUUUGCAUUCUUGCCUCUGUCCUUGUCCACCAGGCCGAACGCGCGUCGGGGCCGUCAAUUUCUACUACAGAGUUUGGGUUUUCCAUGGUCACCACCACUGUGUCCCCUUCCUUGUGUCCGUGGCCCACCACCAAAAAUUGUGUGCUUGGAGCAUAUUUUCCCACUCAUUCACUCUAAAAACGGAUCGAAACCAAAAAUUUUUAAAAAAACGAAACAAAAUACCGAGGGGAUCACGAUUGAAGAAGCCCUGUUUGAGACCCCAGAUCUCAAAUGAAAAAGAACACCCAAAAUCCAUUUGAGAAGCACAAGCACCGGCUUUAAACCUUACAAAUCCAAUCAUUUGAGACCCCAGAUAUCAAAUUUUGAAACAGUGACAAAACCCAAUCAUUUCUGUCCACAGGGAGAGAGAUACAGUGUCCGGAAUUGAAGAAACCCCACUUCAACACCCUGCAUUCCCACACCAAAUGCUGCAAGAAAACCAGAUAGAAUACAGCGUGGUGGUGGGGUUCUUUCUCCCCUACAGCCAAAAGUCUCUCUCUCUCUCUCUCUACUCUACUCGCUACCCCCAACACUGAAAAUUACUGUACCCAUAUGAAAGGUUUGCUCAAACUAAACCCUAAUGCAUGUGGUAAAAGAUCCAGAGACGCAUAACCCACUCUCUCUCUUAACUCUCCACAGGUUACCAUAGGUGGCCUAGAUAGGAUAUUGAAAAAUUAACACUGACAAAGAGAGAAAAGAUAAUCCAGCUGUUGAGGAAGAUUCCAAACACAUGAAAAACACAACUCACUGGUUGGGACUCGCUGCAAGGAUAAUUUAUAACCGUACGGCCCCAAAUUGUAAAAAAUAAAACAGACUCCUGUACAUGAGUGAAAAUAAUGAUUGAAAAAAUAAAGCAAAAUUUCCAAUAUGGAGUGGAUUAAAAUCAUUUAUAUCCAAUUUAAGUUUCUUAGCUUGUGGAGGUCAUGAAUCUUAAAGGUGCAAAUUCUUACUUAAUACAUAUUCUGUCAAAUAUUCUUCUUUCAUUAUCUUAAGCGAGUUUUCGUUAAUGAGUGGCUUAUAUUUUUCGAGAGUCUCGGUUACUAAAAUUUAAAAAUUACUAUAACAACGGCUUUUAGUACCUAUUCUUGAGAAUGUUUAACAAGCGUACUUGCACACUUUUCACACAAAUCAAGGUCAUAUGUUACUAACUAUUUUUUUUUGAUUUUUGAAACUAAAUUUUCAAUAUAUAUGACACCUAUUUGGCUGGCGACGAAUACUUAAUAAGCAAAAAGUCAUAAACUACAGAAACCCCAACCUGAUCAUGUGAUCAUGGCAAUAGAAACACUUGUCUUCUUAAACAAAGUGCAUUUGGGUAGGGUGAUUUUUAUUAAAUGUGGGAUGGUUCGAAUUCUCAGGGGCAUUUAUAGGGAUGAUACAUGUUCUAACUUUGUUUGGUUACACCUUUAUUAUUUUUUUGAGGUGCUCUUUGGUUUUAGAAUGCUUGGUGGUUCCUCCUUGGAUAGUUAAAAUGGCAUUCAAACAUAAGAUUUUUAAAAAAAUCAUUUUUAUAUAUAUAAACCCUGAUCAUGGUAUGCUAACGAAGAUCACAGGGUUAUCACACAUUGUGGGUGACAGGUAAUGUCAAGUGUAAACGCUUAGGCUUGGUGAUAGUGAGUUCUUGUGGGUCUUUCAGACUCAUUAUUCUUAUACAAAUUAUUUUUAUGGACAAAGAACUGGAUCUUCUCUCCGUAGAGUAGGCUUGUUAUGGCUAACCACAAUAAAUCUUGUAAGUUUCCUUUCUUCAUUUUAUUUUUUUAUCGUACUUCCAUUGGUGUGGUUAUGGUUGCUUGAAUCUCGGUGUUCGUGCUUCUCACAUUUAACGUGGAAGUACGAAUGCUGACGAGAAUGGGGACUUUUUUCUUAUGCUAAAAUAAUCAGAAAUUAAAAAAGGCAAUCCAAAGUAAUCAAUAUAAGAAUAUAUACUAAUCAUUUAAAAAUAAGAGUUUCUAUAUUGUAAGAAUAGUCACAACACUGCGCUCCCAAGUUCAACUGACCUAUAAUCCACUAUAGUAAGCCUCCAAAUUAUUUUUUUAUUUAUUAAAUAUAUACGAUUACUUAAUAUCUUAUUCAAUAUGAUAUAUAGCUUACUGAAAUACAUACAUAUUUCCUAUCAAUAAUAGUCACAUUGUGAUUCUAGAAUUCCUAAUUUAUAAAGAAUGAGAAAUCGUAGUGGCUAUCACUUCUUCAUUAGAAGAUGUGGGUGUUUGAAUAUGCUUGAUCGAAUAAAAUUAUUUUUCUCAAUCAAUCUCUCAUGACCUAGGCCUGAGAAUUGGCCUGUUUUAUAAGGAUAAUGGAUUUCUAUUCGCAACCACCCUUAUGUGUAACAAAAAAAUUAGAAACAUUAGGAAAUAUGAAAAUAGUUAUGGUGUCGCAAAAUUCUAAACCCAUUCAACUUAUGAACUUGAAAUGAGAAGAUUGUGAAAAUUGGCCUCAAUUAAAAACCUUUUAGUUUUAAGGGUUGCACUCUUUCAAAAAGUGGUACUCCCUCCCAAUAGAGCUUUUGCGGCUCACAAGGAACCCUUAAUUUUGCGUUAAUGGCUCUCAAAAAUCUGUGAAUUCUAUGCCUAUAUAUACAACCUCCUAUGGCUGUGACAAAAGGUUAAAAAAGAAGCGAGAGAAGAGAUGUAGAGGAGGUAGAAAGAGUGUGAGGGAGGUGGUAGCUGUUUUACCAUCCACAGACAACCAAUAGGUAGGUGAGGGAAGAAAAGGAUAAUCAGAGAAAUUGAGAGAGAGAAACUAUAAAUUUGUAAUUUUUCUUUAUCACAAAUAGUGAAAUCGCUGCCACCAAAGAAAGCAAACAAAUUUAUCGAACCUCGUAAAUAUAUGUGUCUCUGUGUGCGAGAUUGUGUGUUUUUUAGUUUGGUUCUGGGGAUAACAAUUAGUAUCAGAGCUCAAAACAAAGUUUAGGUUUCUUCAUUUGUGUUCUAAAAACUUUUGCGACACAUAGUGAUCAUCUCGAGGAUACGAAUCUUCUAAUCAAACUUCCCAAAACCAAACCGAUAACACACGCGCCAUCAGUGCAACUGAGUUUAGGUGCGUGAGAUUCACGUGACGGCCAAAGGUUGCUGACGAGGUAAGUUCACUCGUCAUGUGCCACAAGUGGUCCACGCACAUCAUAGUAAACAACCACUCAAUCAACAUCACGUUAGCGCCUAGUCAGCAAACGGAAUAUUCAAGGAAUAUUUCUUAGUUUGGGGAAGGAAAAAUUUAAAAUCAGUCCAGAAGUUAAAAAUCUAUUUUUAGUCCUGGACUUUGAGAAAAUAUAGUUUGGUCCAUUAAAUUUAUGAAAAUACAGUUGGGCUCUAAGUUUUGAUAUUAUAAUUUAGGCUCUAGAUUUUAUGAAAAUUUUUGUUUAGUUACCAAAGGUUUUCUUGCAUUCCGAUUCGAUCCGCAGAUACGGAAUUUGUGUAUUUGACCCAUAUCAGUUUUGGUAGAGUUUAUUCUGGUACUCCACAAGAGGGGAAUAUGGCAUAACAGUCAAUAUGGUGGUUCACCCCCACAUUGGCGGAGGUGGUAAAGAAGAUUGAAAAAAUAUCCGCCAUAUGUGAAAGAAUUCUAAGUAGAGAUCUCAUUGUGAGAAGAUCUCAAAUGAGAAUCUCAUUAUUUGGCUACUAGUAUUUAUAGAAAACUUUCGAUAGGAAUCUAAUGUGUGAGAUUCUCUCAUACAUUUGGGAUCUCAUUUUGGAUACUAGCAUUUAUAGAAUUGCUUCGGAAUAGAAUCUUUCAUAUCUGACUAUUAUCAUUUAUGAAGCAAGGCUUUCUAAGUAGGGAUCUCACAUGUGAGAAGGAUAUGAGAAAAGGGAUAUCAUAUUUAGACAGUAUUACAAAGAGGUUUUCGAGUAGGAUCUCAUAUUUGGACACCAACAAUCUAUUAGAUGACUCUCAGUCAUAGAUCUCGGUAAGGUGGAGCUUUACAAUUGUCGAGAAGAUUAAUGAUUGGGUCAAAUUUUUACUGCUUGAACUUGACCUAUCUCUGGCGUCGAAGGUGCAUGGUAGGCAGCGUUACUUUCCGGUUGGGAGAAAUUUUCACUAAGGCAAGAGGUUGGCUCAAUUAAAACCCUUUUGUUUUUCAAGAGUUGUUCUACUCUUAAGAAGUGGUACUCCCUUUCACUAGAGCUUUUGGGCUCCUGAUACGGAUAGCAAGCAGAAGAUUAUUGGAGAUCCGAGGGCAUUGUUAUGCCUGCGUGGUCAUAACUUAAUCUGCUGUAACUUUUGCUGUGUAAUUACGUUUCCUAUUAUAAUAUAUUUUUGAAAAGCUAGCAACGAGGUGAAGACCCAAAAAAUUAUGAUUUUGUUUUUCCGGACCAAGAAAAAUGCAAAAAAAAACGCUUUUUAAGUAUGAUUUUGGCCCAUUUAGUAUUGUGGGCUUAUUUUUGUAAGUUUUUUCUUUAAUUUCGGUUUGGUCCCUGGCCCUAGGAUUUCAAGCACUAUUAUAACUCUUGUUUUGGAUAUUUUCAAGCAUUUUGUGGAGAGAUUAAUAUAGUUUACCGUGCAGUUUUGCCGUAUUUUCCCAAUCGUUCGGUAAUUCUUACGAAUUAACGAACGUUUGAUACUCUUUUUGCCUGAUAUUACACUUGAAUCAACAGGUUUAAGGAAGAAAUCAAAUAUGAAAUCACUACCACUCCAUAAAGUAGGCAAAUUUGCCGAACCUUGUAAAUAUCCGUGUCUGUGUGUGUGAGAGUGUGUGGUUUUUGUUUUGGUUCUGAUCCCCCAACAAAGAUUACUUGUUAAAGAAACCAAUGUUUUGGAUCAUGAGGAUCGUGGAGUGAUUCAUGCAACUGAUUUUCCUUUUUAGGUCCCUUAUUGUACGGUUUCUUCAUGAUAGGGUCCUUUCAACCUAAUUCCCAGGAGCGUUUUCCUCCACAAACUCUCACAUAUGUUUGGAGGGACUGGAAGUGGUUAACUUUUAAGUGAAUUUGUAACUUUUCACCACGACCUUUAAUCUACAAAAAACAAAAACAAAAACAUUGGAUUUGUUUUUGUUGAUUUUUUUUGGAAUUGAAACUUCCUUGGUAGGAAAAAAAACCUUACUUCGUCCUGAUGUGGAAAAUGGGCUCUGCCGCUGUUGAUUUUUACUUAUGAUUCCUGUUUCUCAUGAUAUGGAUCUAGUGGGUUGUUUAUCUUUUCUAUGUAUAUGGAUUGUGUCAUUGAAAAUGUUCUAUUCAAGAUUGGCAAAAGUGAGCAAUAAAAAUGAAGCCUUGUCAAUAUGGAAGAGUAGAUUCGUGUGGUUGAUUCAAAUUUCCCCAAGAGUCAUUUUGUUUUUUACACUCCAAUCCAUCUAAUCCAAUAAAUAAAAAAAGACCACGAUAGAUGCAGAGUGUCUUUUUUUUUCUGAUGAAUUACUUUGUUUUAUUGUUCCUAAUCAUGAUAGUUCUAUUGCGCACAUCAAAGUGACUUGUAAGCACAUGGAUCAGAUUAAUUUCACAUAAAUAUUCAAAUUACUUUUCUAAUUACAAUCUAGAUGCUUGAAAGCAAAAGCCAUUUUGUGUUCAAGUGAUACCGAACUCAACCCAACGGAUGUUUAAAAUGUUAUAGUAAAUUUGGUUGUUUCGGUUUUUAUAGCAAAUCCAGCCCUGAAAAAAAUCUUCCUCCAUGAAGAAUAUUAGAAAAACAAUCUAUUCUUCAUUCUACAAGUUGGAUUAAGCCUUCUAGUCAAUUCAUAGGAUGGUCUGGUAUUUAUUCAUUUGGAAGUAUAAGUGAAGAAGGGCCACCAAGAGAAGAGUUUUUUAUAAACCGCACAAUGGGUCUAAUGAGAAACGCUAUUCUUUUCCCAGUGAUUCUUACGUAUGUUUGGACAUGGGUGGAAAGAAACGAAAAUGUAUUAUAAAACAAUGAAUUGGUGGGCGCCCUUUUUUAUAACAUAAUUUUAACAAGCUGGAAAAAUACAUUUAUUAUCUUCUUUUAUUUUCUCAUUAGGACCAAAAAGAAAAGAGAGAGGAGAGAAAAAAAAUAAAUUUGCUAAUAAUGCACUUUAUUUUCUUGUCUUUUUUUUUUUUUUCUUUUCUUUCGCAUUUUUAAUGAAAUCUAAAAAUAAAAACACACGAAUAGCUGAAGAAAAGCGCGACGGGCUACUAGGCUCGUGUCAGCCCCAUAGAUAGUGGAAGAAGUCCAGUCAACUACGUUUCAAUUGUACUUUUCCUCUUUAUCAUAUAUUUCUUUUGUGCUUUUUAGCAUGAUGUUUAUUAUAUAUCGGAAGAUUCCGUAUGCUUAAGCAUUUUACAUUUAGAUGGAGGAUGGGCCAAUCAUCGUCCAAAAUAGACAUGAAAACUGAGUUCAAAUCACAUUUUAAUAUAUUAAGUAUAACCUGGAUUCUUACUAGUCAAGUUACAUAUACUUAUUAAAAAGCUUCAAUUCUUGGUUCAUGUCUAGGAAUGUAUUAAAAAAAAAAUAAUCAAUCUAUUCUAUUUUAAUAAUAUGGAUGGUCAUGGUCAGCUAUUCAUUAACAUUCGUAACUUUUUUAAAGAAAAAAAAACAAGAAAUAAGCAAAUUUUAUGAAUUGAAUGCGGAACAUAUAUGUAACUUUUCUCAUUCUUGCAUGGAAGAGCUGGGAAGGGAAGACAUACUUGAGAGUAAGAAUGUGUGGAAAGCAUAACAAACAAACAUAGGCAUUGGGUAGGGAUGCGGCAGGCAGAAAAAAUAGGUCAUUGCAAAACAUACAAGCCCGUCCGUCCAUGCCAUUUCAAUUUUCUUUACCCUAUUAUUGUCAAUUCGAUGCAUUUACGUACCAGUACCGCCACAAACUAUUUAUGUGCUUAGAAUGGUCAAAUAUUGGGUGACUACUUGGCAUGAUUAGGUGGGUAAUAGAAUCACAGGGAUGGAUUCAAGAAAGGUUUAUUUGGAUGAAUUUAUCAUAACUGGAUAGCAUUCAUUAGCAUCAUGAUUCAAAAUGUUAACCCUUCUAUUCGUGUUUAUUGUAAUAAAAAAUAUUAAAUAAGCCAAUCUCUAUGAUCUGUUUUUUUAAGUUAUUUUGAGUUCAUAAGCAAAAAACAAAAGUUAUGUCGUCAUACAAUACGACGUAGCUCUCUAGACAAAGAAUUCUAAGUUGCACAAGUCAAUAAUCUUCACGUGAAGUUUUAAAGAAAUUCAUACCCUUAUUUUUACAUGUUAUCAAAAGUAUAAAAAUUACAAGCAGCAAUAAACGCUGGGCUCACAUAGAUCUUUAAAAUCUAGUAUAAUAAAAAUAUAACACGCAGACACAGGGAACGUGUUGUCAAAAAAAUGUCCAAAACCACAAAUACGUAUGAGAUAUAUGGAAAGCAUAAAUCAAACUAGACAUUAUAAUUACACACUAU